UUACUUAUCCGGCAGGGGAGAUACCAUGCUCUUGAAGGUGGUUUUCCCAGAGUGAGGCUGAUCCAUUGUACUGGGGAUCUGCUGACCCCUGUGACUUCCCCACAUGGGGGAAACUCAACUGCAUAAUUUGUGUUGGUGGGAGGCUGUGUGCGUGCUUUUCCCCG
rnacentral:snRNA from 1 species